CCUGAUUAGCCCAGAGUCCCCUUGAAGGGCUGUGAGAAAGUCUUGAUUAGCCCACAGGAAGGAACACACUGUCUAGCUAGACACAGACUGCUAAUGCCAGCCGGAGGUACAUUGAGAUAGAAAAGGAAACUGCCUGCUCCUUGGUGCAAGGCAGGAUAGAUAGCAGUUGAAUGCCUGUGCUGUGCAUUGUUCUACCUCUGUCCUUCAAAACUGUAUAUAAGCUGGCUGUGAAAUAAACUAGGGGCUGUCCAGCAUUGACCGGCAGACCUCUCAACUCUUUUCUGUCUUCUUCAUUGUCUCUUCAAUCCACACGCCUCUACCCAGCUAACCAGCUGACUGUCGGCAGGCUCCGACAAGUGGCGCCCAGGUGGGUACGGAGGAGUCUGUGACAGACACCACAGAAGAAAAAGGAGUGCACUCGAGAAAAGUGGAAGCUGUGGAAGAAAAUGAAGCUCGUUGGUUGCCUGAAAGAUUGGUGUGGUGUAUGAAGCAGAGAUGCUGAUCCUGAUGUUGCUGAUGACCAUCCAGAGAUGCCAGAGUGAAAUCUACUGGGCCUAUGUUCCUGAUCCACCAAUUGUACAUCUUGCAACUUGGAAAGGAAAAGAAAUUGUGGUUGCAGUUAAUGAUACCAGGCUUUUAGAUCAACCUGCCACCCAAGAGUUCCAGAUUGCUCACAAUUUUUCUUAUAUUGGAUAUGGUAAAGGGAUUCCUGUAUGUUUUGCAAAAAAUAUUACUUUGGAGGGAUGUCUUGGAGUGUUUCCAAAACAAGUACUGGGACAUAAUAAACAAUGUACCAGUUAUACAAAGUUAUUCCUUCCUCAAGGUAAUUGGACAAGUAAUAUUUUACCACCCUCAAUAAUUUCCUCCAUGCACAAAACAGAACUUUGUUAUGGAGAUGAUGUACUGGCAUUGUUCCUUUAAGAUACAACAUCACAGGGAUACAGCAGUGUAUUCUUCAUUGGCCCAGAAAUCAGGAAGAUUAUAGUGACUCUUAUCCUAUGUCUACAGCAAAAUCUUGGGACCAAGGACUGUCAGCUGGAAUAUGGUAUUCCAGUACUGGAUCUCCACAAACUUAUGUUUGGAAACUUGCUGCUGCCAUGGGAACAGUUGCAGGACACUUCAGUCACUUUAAACCUGUUUGUUCUUUAAAAGGAACUAUUUUAGCUUAUGUCAAAAUGCCCUAUGUUCUUUUAGUUGGUGAAGCAAAUAUUUCUAUGAAUGAGUCUAUGUUUAAUGUAUCAUGUCUUAAUUGUAUUUUAAUCAAUUGUAUUUCUCAAGUGGAUAACCAUACUCAUGUAAUAGUGUUAAAACAACCCUCUUUUGUAAUAUUGCCAGUAUAUAUGAGUGAUCUAUGAUUCAAUGAUAAAAGGUUAAAAGUGAUUAAAGAAAUCAAGAAAGCUUUAAGCAGACAGAAGCAUGUUGCUGAAUUAGUUAUAGAAGGAAUUGAAGCUCUUUUUACUAUGCUUGCUACUAUUACUGUUGCUUCAGUGGAGUUGUCUCAAUUCAUUCAGACAGCAGCGUUUGUUAAUCAAUCGUCUAUGAAUGUUUCUAUGCCAUUAGAGACUCAAGCAAAAUAUAUAUAUAUACAUAUAUAUAUGUAAAAAUGGAACAUAAAUUGAACGCUUUAUAUAAUGUGGUACAAUUUCUGGAAGAUGAACUCCAAAGCCUGAAAACUAGAGUACAUUUGAAAUGUCAUGCUAAUUAUGAAUGGAUUUGUGUUACAUUUUCUGUGUAUAAUGAAAGUGCUAUUGGAUGGGAAAAGGUUAAGACACAUCUUAAAGGAAUUUGGAAUGAUUCUAAUGCAUACUUAGAUUUGGCUAAACUACAUCAAGAGAUUAUAGAAAUGAAAAAGGCUAAAUUGGAUUUUGAUGCAGCUAAAACAGCCACAGAUAUUUUAGAACAAUUCAAAUGGGCUAUCCCUUCAUGGUCAUCAUUUACUUUGCUUUUAAAUGGUGUUGUAGCUAUUGGAGCAUGUGCCUUAGUAGGCAUAGUCUGUUUGCCUGUGAUUCUCAAGCUGAUUUUGAACUCGUUAUGGAGAUUGGGCUCAGAACUCCACAGAGUAAAAUGCCGCACAUUCCUCCAACUUGACACCAGAGGCUGGUAGCCAAAGACGGGUAAGUUUUCUUUGCCUCCUUUCAACCUAAGACAGGACAUGAAUGACUGAAUUCAUGCUCCCAUGACGGGUAAGAUUGGAGUGUGGUAAGGAAACACCUAAGACAGGCACAGUCAUCUGAGAGACUCAGUGGAGUCUUAAAAUAAAU